GCAAUGCCGCGUGAGUGAAGAAGGCCUUCGGGUUGUAAAGCUCUUUUGUCAGGGAAGAAACGGUGNNGGCUAAUAUCCUCUGCUAAUGACGGUACCUGAAGAAUAAGCACCGGCUAACUACGUGCCAGCAGCCGCGGUAAUACGUAGGGUGCAAGCGUUAAUCGGAAUUACUGGGCGUAAAGCGUGCGCAGGCGGUUUUGUAAGUCUGUCGUGAAAUCCCCGGGCUCAACCUGGGAAUUGCGAUGGAGACUGCAAGGCUAGAAUCUGGCAGAGGGGGGUAGAAUUCCACGUGUAGCAGUGAAAUGCGUAGAGAUGUGGAGGAACACCGAUGGCGAAGGCAGCCCCCUGGGUCAAGAUUGACGCUCAUGCACGAAAGCGUGGGGAGCAAACAGGAUUAGAUACCCUGGUAGUCCACGCCCUAAACGAUGUCUACUAGUUGUCGGGUUUUAAUUAACUUGGUAACGCAGCUAACGC
rnacentral:rRNA from 1 species